AUGCUCAAUUCUUUCUUCUGGUCUAGCUCCUCACCGUCGCCCGGCUGGACGUCAUACUUAGUUUUGUGCCGUAUGGUGGUUGCUCUCUGGAUCGUAUUGAUGUUCGUCGGUGGCCGCUGUAAAAUUGUGGAAGGCUGGUUUUUCAAUUUGGUCCGCUGUGCCGAACACUGUCGGUCUGGUGGUUAUUAUAUAAAGCUGAAUAUACACCCCAACCUGAACUAUCUCUAUUGCACAGAAAAAUUCAUCAUAAUCACUACAUCAACUGCUAAUUCUCUUCAUGGGAUCACCACUUCUAUCAAGUGGAAUCAACCGAGCCGUUGCUUUAGAUGGAGGCAGCAGCUAUUACUACCAAACCUUGAAAAGCAAUUGGAAACAACCCCCAACCUUCUCCGACAGUAG
rnacentral:rRNA from 1 species